AUAAGGGCGCACGGUGGAUGCCUUGGCACUAGGAGCCGAUGAAGGACGGGACUAACACCGAUAUGCUUUGGGGAGCUGUAAGUAAGCUAUGAUCCAGAGAUUUCCGAAUGGGGGAACCCAAUAUCUUUUAUAGGAUAUUACUUUUCAGUGAAUACAUAGCUGAUUAGAGGUAGACGCAGAGAACUGAAACAUCUUAGUACCUGCAGGAAGAGAAAGAAAAUUCGAUUCCCUGAGUAGCGGCGAGCGAAACGGGAAGAGCCCAAACCAACAAGCUUGCUUGUUGGGGUUGUAGGACUCCAAUAUGGUAGUCUGUUAGUAUAGUUGAAGGAUUUGGAAAAUUCCGCUAAAGAGGGUGAAAGCCCCGUAGACGAAAUGCUGACAACACCUAGGAGGAUCCUGAGUACGGCGGAACACGAGAAAUUCCGUCGGAAUCCGCGGGGACCAUCCCGCAAGGCUAAAUACUCCCUAGUGACCGAUAGUGAACCAGUACCGUGAGGGAAAGGUGAAAAGCACCCCGGAAGGGGAGUGAAAUAGAUCCUGAAACCGUGUGCCUACAACAAGUCAAAGCUCGUUAAUGAGUGAUGGCGUGCCUUUUGUAGAAUGAACCGGCGAGUUACGAUUGCAUGCGAGGUUAAGUCGAAGAGACGGAGCCGCAGCGAAAGCGAGUCUGAAUAGGGCGAAUGAGUAUGUAGUCGUAGACCCGAAACCAUGUGAUCUACCCAUGUCCAGGUUGAAGGUGCGGUAAAACGCACUGGAGGACCGAACCCACGUACGUUGAAAAGUGCGGGGAUGAGGUGUGGGUAGCGGAGAAAUUCCAAACGAACUUGGAGAUAGCUGGUUCUCUCCGAAAUAGCUUUAGGGCUAGCCUCGGAAUUGAGAAUGAUGGAGGUAGAGCACUGUUUGGACUAGGGGCCCAUCUCGGGUUACCGAAUUCAGAUAAACUCCGAAUGCCAUUCAUUUAUAUCCGGGAGUCAGACUGCGAGUGAUAAGAUCCGUAGUCGAAAGGGAAACAGCCCAGACCACCAGCUAAGGUCCCAAAAUAUAUGUUAAGUGGAAAAGGAUGUGGGGUUGCACAGACAACUAGGAUGUUGGCUUAGAAGCAGCCACCAUUUAAAGAGUGCGUAAUAGCUCACUAGUCGAGUGACCCUGCGCCGAAAAUGUACCGGGGCUAAACAUAUUACCGAAGCUGUGGACUACACCAUUAGGUGUAGUGGUAGGAGAGCGUUCUAAGGGCGUUGAAGGUCGAUCGUGAGGACGGCUGGAGCGCUUAGAAGUGAGAAUGCCGGUAUGAGUAGCGAAAGACAGGUGAGAAUCCUGUCCACCGUAUGACUAAGGUUUCCUGGGGAAGGCUCGUCCGCCCAGGGUUAGUCGGGACCUAAGCCGAGGCCGAUAGGCGUAGGCGAUGGACAACAGGUUGAUAUUCCUGUACCAGUUGUUUUUGUUUGAGCAAUGGAGGGACGCAGUAGGCUAAGGAAUGCAUGCGAUUGGAAGUGCAUGUCCAAGCAAUGAGUCUUGAGUAGAGUUAAAUGCUUUACUCUCUAAGGACAAGUUGUGACGGGGAGCGAAAUAAUAGUAGCGAAGUUCCUGAUGUCACACUGCCAAGAAAAGCUUCUAGUGAGAAAACAACUGCCCGUACCGUAAACCGACACAGGUAGUCGAGGAGAGUAUCCUAAGGUGAGCGAGCGAACUCUCGUUAAGGAACUCGGCAAAAUGACCCCGUAAC
rnacentral:rRNA from 1 species